UUUCUUUCCAGGACGUUUAAGAUGUUGCAUCUGGAAAACACUGAUAAGAGAAUGAGACCAGUAAAUCACAUACGCAUUAAGGCUCUGCUGUUCCUAUCUCUACGUGGGAGUAACGCACUGAAGAGCUGAAAUUAUGGAAUCCCAAGACAAAAGCCGCCACUUCCAGCCAACCCCAUUGUUACAUAGAGGGGAGAGUGGAAGGGAAAAGUAACCCAGUCAAACAUAAAGGCAAUAAAUAUUCCCCAGGACACAACCAAGAUAGAUUUACUUUAAAAAUUUUGCAACCUGAGUAAAGCCAUUCUUAGUUGUCCUACAUACACAAUGACAUUAGUUACUGUGGCUGUCCUUAGGAAUUGUCACAACCUUAGUGGUUUUAAACAACAAAGAUUUACAUUUAGGUAAUUCUAAUGUUCAAGGAUCCAAAAUGAGUUUCACUAGAGUUAACUCAUAGGGCUGGCAAAGCCCUGUGUUUCAUGAUGGCCAUAAAGAAGACCCUAGUCACUUUAUCUCUGAAGCUUCUAAAAGUGACUCAAAUUCCUUACGCCAAUUCUUUUUCCAUCCUCAAAGCCAGAAGCAUAAAAUCAUGUUGUCUCUCCAACUCUGGUCCUCCUACCCCCCUACAGUAACCCUGUAACAUUGGUUCCCUCUGAAGAAAUCAAAAAUCCCAUCCCAUGACCUUCAACUUAAUUGCAUUUGCAAGCCUCUUUUACCAUGUAAACUAGAAUCUCUGUAGAUAUUGGGAAUUAGCUCAGGAGCAUCUCUGGUUCUUGUCAGAGGAGGAGUGGGACAUAAUCCUCCCACCACAAUUGUGGACUGGCAUUUCCCUUUGAUUAGAGAUGGAUACUUCUUAUUUUUGCAACUGUUAAUUAUGCUACCUCUAAAAUUUAUAUUCUAGACUCUGUGCGUGGUGAUUUUUAGAAGCAUGGAAAUGUUUCACAAAGCUUGGCUCAUGGCGUGCCUCCAUGACUCUUGGUCUCCCCCAUUGUAGAACUGGUUCAUCUGCCAACUUGGAUAGACGAAGAAGCCAGCUGGCUCUGCUUACUGUUUAGGGGACCAGGGAGAGCCCAGAGCACAGUUCCUCCACAGCCAGCCAGGCAAGCCCCAGAAAAGCAGCCAGAAAUUUAUGAAUAUUUCCAGGGCUGGCCAGCUAUGCCUGACAUCUGCACUCCAGAGCUGGAGACCUUCAAGCCUCAUUCCAAACCCACAGGGCCAACUCCUGCCCUGCCAUGUCUCUUCAAUUUUCUGUCUUCUGAAACUGCUGUGGGUCCAUGUUUAACUGGUCAUGAGAGAAAGAAUCAGACUUUAUUCUUUUCAAGUUCCUCCAGCAUACAGAGUUCAGUGUGCUCUUCAUUCCAGAAGAUCCUUACUAAGAACACUUCACCGAGGCUUGGAUUUCCGGCAUUCAGUUUUAUACUUGAACGAGAACACAUGUCACAGGAACCCAGGAAAAUGUCAACUCAGGAUGAGAUGUAGUGAUGUCAUCAUUAACCAUGCAUUCUUUCAGAUGUUGAUAUUUCUAUUUUCUAUGGCAUACCUCCCACAGAUGAGUUCAUUUUUUUUCUUUGUUCUAAGCUUUCCAAAUGUUUGCAGAAAGCAGUUCUUCACAAAAAUAAGAUUUUUUUGACAUUUAAAAAUAAGCUUGGACCAAAUGAUUUGAGGAGAGGAGAAUAACAAUAUUGAAGCAUUUACCUUUAACCACAUCUAAUAGAUCUAAUCUAAUCAUCUAUAUUAAAGGUGUACAGUUUGAAGGCUUGAGAUAUAUGAUAGGAUUACCUUAUUGAAAACAGUAUAGCCACUGAUCUCCUGUGUAACUCUCUUUGUGUGUUUCUAGGACACUGAGAUUUGGCUCCUAACGCAAACUUCAAGUAAACAAUACAUAAUUAUCCAUGACACUUGUCUAGGCUGUCUUCUAGAUUCUACAAGUUAGCCAUAUUAGAACCAAAAUGUAUACUUUUGAUCAGUACCUCCCCCACUUCUGCACACCCCAGUGAUUGGCACCCACCUUUCUAGACCCUCAAGCACCUUUAUAAACCAAGUUGGCCAACUUCUAAGCACCAUGUCUUAAUGUUACUUGAGAUGUGUUCUCUGGUAUCUAUAAGAUGCAAUUCCCUCAUUGAGUAAUAUGCUAAUAGUUUGCCUCUCUUCAGUUGACAUGGGUAAAAAAUGAAAUAAACUACUGGAAAUACCCACUAUAGUAUUAGCUACAGGGCAAAUAUGAAACUCAAAUUUAUUUCCCUUGAGAAAGAGGUCAUUAUUUUAUUUUUUUACUCUAUGAGUUUUCUUUGAAAUAAAAUAAACCCUGAAGUCUUUGCCUAUCUUAAUCUUCAAACUGUCUUCACAGAACAUCUCUGCAGAUCAGAAUGUGAGCAUCUUGUCUUUGUUAUAGAGAAAGGGGUGCUUCUUUUUGACACUCAUCCAAGUUAUAAUAUUACAGCCCUGAGGUAAUCAUCUUAUCACUAAAAGGAUUUAUCUUUGAUCAGAGUCUCUCCAUUUCCUGAAUCAGUGACUUAUCCUAAAAUCAUAAACCUGAAUGAAUGGAAUUAAUGAAGCACUUGGUAGUAAGAAGGGAAAAACGCUUACUUUAUCAAUAUGAUAAGAUUCAAUGGAACCUAUGUGAGAUUUACUAAAAGCUUAUUCUUCUCAGAGUGUCUAGUGUCAUUAGGCUUAUGUUCAUGAAACCUCCAAACACAAUUAAUAGAAAGAAAACAUUUUAAUCAAUUGAGUAUAUUCAGGACUGUGUGUAGAACAUGGUCUAAAUCUGAGUGAGUGAGUGAGUGAGUGAGUGAGUGAGUGAGUGAGUGAGAGCAUGUGAGUGAGUGUGAGUUGUGAGUGUGUAAAUGAAUGUGAGACUGUGUGAGUGUAUGUGUAAGAGUGAAUGUGUGAGUGAGUUGUGAGUGGGUGAGUGUGUGAGUGUGUGUGUGUGAGUUGUGAGUGUGUGAGUGAAUUAUGAGUAUGUGAGUAUAUAUGUGUGUGAGUGUAGUGUGUGAGUGAGUAAGAGUGUGAAUUAUACAAAUGUAAGUGAGUGAGUAGUCACACAUUUUGUAUAAAAAAAUUAAUGGUACCCAAGAACAUGGGAAGUGGAGCAAAGGGCAGAUGAAGAAAUGCUAGGUCCAAUUCAGCAAGUGAGAUUAGUCAAACCAUGCAGAAGCACAUAGUUUAUUUAUCAGGGUGAGUGAUAACAUACUUCCUGAUUUAGCAAUUAACUGUGUUCUGUCUUUAGUUCUCUACUGCCAGGCAAAGGCUCUGCCAAAUUUUUCAAAUGAAUUUUUAUGCCCAUUAAAUCGACUUCCUUUGUAUCUGCUUCAACCUUUCCCCCCAUAAUUUGCUUUCUGCUCCAACAGCGUACUAAGUGCCUACUUGUAAAGGUCACCAAUGACUUUGUGACUGGCAUAUCAGGUCAUGUGCUUGUGGAUUGUAUUUUAUAAGGUUCAUGCACUUUAUGUUCUUUUAACAGUCAUUGUUUUUAAAUGUUGACUUUCCUGGCCCAGCCUUAGUCUUUCAUUUUGGCUUGUCUCUUCUUCCUGAUCAUUACUAUAUAUUUUGCCUGCUUUUCUC
rnacentral:lncRNA from 1 species